rnacentral:lncRNA from 13 species
CUGGGUGGUGGUGCUGUCCCUCUGCAUUCCCGCAUGGACAUGAAACCUGGAGCAAUUAGCAUUUCCUCCUACUGUAGCUUUUAAAGUAUUUUUGCUUUGCUACUGUCUAGUUCAUUAAAAAGGGUUUUCAAGCUCCCAGUAACAGAAUUACUAUUGACAAUUUCAUUAGAACCAUAAUUCCAGCAGUUUCCACAAGAUCCAGUGUGGUCCAUGGUCACAGCCUGUCCAUCUCCUGUAUAUUUACAGCUCCUCGGAUUCAUCCCCCUCAAAUUCUGAAGGGCCAAACCCACCAGUUUUUGUGAACUGUCUUUUAGCCCUGAGUUCCACCAGCCUCAAAAGUUCUUGGAGAAUUACGGAGCUGUUAGCUGCCGUCUGACUGUUCCCAUGGCUGAAAGAUGCUUCAUGUACAGAUCUUUGUUCCUCCGUUUUCUACAAAUGAAAUUAUGGAAGGCUACAUUUGAGUUUUAGAUUUUUCUCCAGUUGGAGUGAGCUGGUCUUGACCCGAAAGUCCUUUGUCUGCCGCCAGUGGAUACAUGGAGAACACAGAGGCUCUUCUCUGAAAGCAGCUGUUGAGAACAGAGGAAGGAAUAGAUGAUGGCACCAAAUCCUGCCCUGGAGCUGAGCAGGGCUCGAAGAGCAGCCCCGUGUGGAGAAGCAGAUGGAGCUCUGCAAAGUAUCAGCAUGCUGGAUUUUAUGGAGCAUUUCUAAAGCUGAGGGAAAACUGUCUGGGAAUUUCUAGGUCAGGUAACCUUGCUCUCUCUUGUGGAAAGCCUGAGGAGCUCCAGGAGGGAUUUAAGGAAGAGAUCUUCCUCUCCUGUUCAGGUGAAUAGUCAUGAAUUAGACUCUUGGGAGACUAAAGCAGUAUAAAUACAUAAGGAAAUCUUU